rnacentral:rRNA from 1 species
AUUGAACGCUGGCGGCAGGCCUAACACAUGAAAGUCGAACGAGUGGCGGACGGGUGAGUAAUGUCUGGGAAACUGCCCGAUGGAGGGGGAUCACUACUGGAAACGGUAGCUAAUACCGCAUACCAUCGGAUGUGCCCAGAUGGGGUUAGCUAGUAGGUGGGGUAACGACUCACCUAGGCGCCGAUACCUAGCUGGUCUGAGAGGAUGACCAGCAACACUGGAACGGCGACCCGGUCCAGACUCCGACGAGAGGCAGAAGUGGGGAAUAUUGCACAAUGGGCGUAAGCCUGAUGCAGCCAUGCCGCGUGUAUGGAGAAGGCCGUCGGGUUGUAAAGUACUUUCAGCGAGGAGGCGUUACUCGCAGAAGAAGCACCGGCUAACUCCGUGCCAGCAGCCGCGGUAAUAC